CUGUCAUCUGUUUGUUUUGCCUUUUGUGUUCUUUGAAGGGGAAAAGCCAACCACAAGUAGCUCUGCAGAAGUAUUAUUUAGCUUCUAAUGAAGAGUGUUUGGUGUUCUUGCAGGCAAAUGAUGGUAACUCAGUGUUCCAGAUGCGGCAUCCAUCAUGUGAGAAAGACGCAGAUGUCUCUUGGACAGGUUUCCUCCUUGGGUCACGGUAUGCUGAGCUGAGAGCUGCACCUGGCCUUGUCUCCAUUCCUCUUUGGGCAAAGAAAGUUGUCAGAAAUUUUUCCUGGGAAGGAGCUCCCAAAGAUCGCCAAGACUUCGGGUGUUGUAAUGAAAAUCUAUUGGUGAAGUUGGGGGUACACGUGGAUGGCUGCAGACACCCAAGGUCAGGCUGGAGGGGCUGUGGGUGUCCCUGCUCAGAGCAGGGAGUUGGACCAGAUGGCCUUUAGGGUCCCUUCCACCUCCAGCGGUGGAAGAGACUGAUUCUAAGCUGCUGUAACAAGAUGUGCUUUUAUUUCUUUGUGCCCAGCUGUGAAGUUGCUAUUGUCUGUUUUGCCUCUCCCUCAUUUUUCUUCGAGUCCCAGGCCUCCUGCUUUUGGCUUUAACCCACACUGGAACUCAUGCUCAGGAGUUGUCAAGAGCUGACAAAUACCUACAAGAUGUGUCGUUCCCUCUUGGCUGUGCAGGGAUGCUGCAACCCCAGAACAACACAGAGAUGGAACGUCCUCAGAAACGAGCAGCGGAAUGGGAUGGUGCUGUGUUGUGUGUAAACCAAAGCUACUGAAGAUUUGCAUCAGGGUCCUGUUUGCUGACUGGAGGCUGGAACAGCCCUUUGGUGACUUUUUGGAGAGGAAGAUUUGGGAUGCGUCAUUCAACCCACGCUACAAGGCAGCUGUGCAUCCCGGAGCUCCAUGCUUUUGGUCCAGCAAAAUAUUGAAGUUGGCCUUUUAAGCUCUCCGUUGUUAAAAGAGGACUCAGCUGAACCUUGCAGGCAGAAAAGUGAUUGUUUUCUCAGCGUG
ensembl:lncRNA